rnacentral:rRNA from 1 species
AGAAUCAACGCUGGCGGCGUGCCUAACACAUGCAAGUCGAACGAGAAAGUGGGAGCAAUCCCACGAGUAAAGUGGCGCACGGGUGAGUAACACGUGACUAACCUACCCUUGAGUGGGGGAUAACCUAGGGAAACCUGGGCUAAUACCGCAUAAUACCUACGGGUCAAAGGAGCAAUUCGCUUAAGGAGGGGGUCGCGGCAGAUUAGUUAGUUGGCGGGGUAAUGGCCCACCAAGACAGUGAUCUGUAUCCGGCCUGAGAGGGCGCACGGACACACUGGAACUGAAACACGGUCCAGACUCCUACGGGAGGCAGCAGUGGGGAAUUUUGCGCAAUGGGGGAAACCCUGACGCAGCAACGCCGCGUGGAGGAUGAAGCCCCUUGGGGCCGUAAACUCCUUUCGAUCGGGAAGAUAAUGACGGUACCGGAAGAAGAAGCCCGGCUAACUUCGCGCCAGCAGCCGC